CCUCUUGUCCUUUGUGUUUUUUUACUUUUCUUUCCUUAAAGAUCAGUUGGUGAGCAGAUUUACCAUUUCAUCCUGGUAAUAAAGAGACACCGGUUCUCUUCUUUAAAUUCAAACUGAUAUAUUCAAAAUGUUCACAACACGUACACACACUGCGGCUGAUAAUGCGCGUCACAUGUUUGCGCCAAGGUCGAUCCUAAUAGGUCACGAAGCUUCGGGCGAUAAGUGGUUCAGUACAAAUUGUCACCGACAUCAGAAGGGUGGUUAUUGGAGCAGCGAUUGAAGCACGACUAUGUUUGGAGGGAACAAACAUUGUAAAAGAAAAAAAAGCGUUUUUUUAAUUCAAGCGAGACAUAGUUGGAUUCAUUCAACGAAAAUAAAAUUUCGGGUCAAUUAUAUAUUCAUGACGAGCUAAGAAAAUACAGGUUUAUUUAAUUUUAUUAUUAUAAUAAAUACAUUUCUUUUCAGCGCCCAUCGUUACAGGGGGUGUUGACGCCACCAUCACUCGCAAUGCAAUGCAGCUCUUGAGAUGUGCAAAAAAUGCGUGCUCAUAAAGUUCACCUGUUGAAAGACGCCCCAUUCACAAGGUGUGCUUUCUUGCUUGUCAAGACUUGUCUGAAUUUGUUGACGCGGGUAGAGUCAUCGCUUCUUAACCGGUUCAGUCAAAAGUAGAGUUACAACCGCGAGAUAAUUGUUUAGUUUUCGUGCGACUGCGCUGGCCCACGUGCUUGGCGUCCGACGAUAGGACCAGCACUCUACGCCUAAAGCUUUCGUUGGCCUCCAAGGAAAGUAUGUUCUGUGCAGGGGUGCGAUUGCGACAACCGUACGGCUGGUCUUUUCCUGCAUCGCUUUCCGUGCUGAAAGCUCGAAACGCCUAUCAAGUUGAAUGGCAAGGCAUUUGAAUAUAUAGCUCUAAAGGCAGGCCAACAAAACAAAGUUCACGGCUUCAAGAACAAAAUGACGUCACUUGUUUUUAACGGAUACGGCGUCACAUUAUUUUUUCUUCCGCCGGAAGUAUUCCCUUCACAUGAACCGCCGAUGAACCGCCAUGUUUUGAACGUAUGGGCCCCUAUGGAAGCUUCGCUACCAGGUAUAUUUACCUUGUUUGCGCUCCCAAAAGAUAUUUCCAUCUACUGUAGUUACCGAUGCAUGGAAAGGCUUCCCUGACGACUUUAUAUGACCUGCCGUGGUUGCUCAGUGGCUAAGUUGUUGGGCUGCUGAGCACAAUGUCGCGGGAUCGAAUCCCGGCCACGUCGACCAAAUUUCAAGGGGGGCGAAAUGCGAAAACACCCGUGUACUUAUAUUUAGGUGCACGUUAAAGAACCCCAGGUAGUCAACAUUUCCGGAGUCCUCCACUACGGCAUGCCUCAUAAUCAGGAAGUGGUUUUGGCAUGUAAAACCCCAUAAUUUAAUGACUUUGUAUGAACGGACAUUGCAUAAAUUUCGCAAAGUACGAUCUAAAACGUCUCAAAAUCGUUCUGCAUCACGCGAUAGCAAUACCUUCAAGCAGCGCUGCGCCGGAUCACACGAGCCAGAGAAUAGGAAAGGCUCGCCAUGCGCCCUUUCAUCCUUGACUGAUGAAAACGUCUGUAGGUGACAGGUGCAAGUAAGAGAGGAAAAGCGACGGGAGAAACUCGUUUUCACCUCACUGCAUCGAAUGCGUACAAUACCGUCUUGAGCUUCCUGGCUGUCGCCACUUUAGCCGCUUGACAGCUGUAAUUAUCUGGAACUUCCCACAGAAGCAUUGCAGAAACCGCAGAGCUUCCCUUUUUACCAACGUCUGAGGCCAGAGGGGACCCAGAUAGAACUGUAGAGAGGAGAAGAGGCAGUUCCCAUAUAAGACGGGCUCCUGGGUUUAAAUUAUGUGCGCAGUUUGAAAAAUGCUCGCGGGUAGAGAAUGAAUUGCACCGUCUAUUGUGAAGCGCCUGCAAUGUCGUCAGAUUUUAGGAAGUAGCAAAAUAGUAAGGCUAUGAAAGCCUUCUUAACGGCUUGGCCAUCCUUGAUUUAAAAGUUCCUUGCCUUAGAAUUUGUCUGCUAAUUACUGAUGAUAUGCUUUUCUUUUUUUUUUUUGUCGUAUAUGCAGGAGAGAGCCACCACUCCUUGAGUCGACAAUUUCGGCUGGGCCACUCCAGUUACGCAGACAUACGUGCACGUCGGAUCGGACGUGAAAUCGGACCGUGCUUCUCCUGCUUUACUGAGCGCAACGGUGCCGCCUGAUAUCCUCGGAAAAUGCACAGCACAAAUGAAACCUGUCGACUACGAAGUGCGACUGCAGUUAUCAGCAGGAGAGAGAAUCAAACACAAGCGAGCUGCACAUGCAACGCUGGCUGCACGAGCGCAAACACGGCGUGCCUGUAGCAGUGUUUGUAGAUGAUUACAAACACACGUCUUGCACUGAUUUGCCGUGCGCAUGGAACAAGCCUUCCACCCAACCAAACCUUGAUGCCCAGAAGUCUGUUGAGGUCCUUUUCCAAGAUAGCACGAGGAACAUCGCGUACGCCUUUCAAGCUCAAGUGCACACCGAGUGAAGACGAGGAUUGCAGAUUUUGACAGACUGGCGGAAGCAAUGGCAUCCCCGCGAUUAUUACAGCUGCUGCCCCUUCUUACGGCAAGGCAUAUGAGAAAGUAAAGAACAAGAAAGAAGCUACAGUAAAACCUCGUUAAACCGUAGUAGUAGUAAAGUGAAAUCCCUGACUCAGCAGCCAUUGAACCUAAUGUGUUUUGUAUCCGCAUAAACUGUACCAGCUUACUGCGUACAUAUCGGUUAAAACGUAGCGUUUCCACUUUUCGUCGUGCAAACACGGCGGUGCGUCGUCUCUAUCGGGCGGCCUGACAGAACAACAAGCCUCGGAGAUCGGAACAAUGGCCUCCAAGCACCCUGUGCGUUUGCACGUGAAGCCACAUCAACAUCAUUUUGACGCCGUGCCAGAGAGCGGUGUGGCGUCUUGCAACCGAGGACUCGUGUCAUGCCGAAGCUCGGAUUAAAAAGGACUUCGUCCAUGCUAGGCACCGUCCGUGCUAUCGAACGUGACACGAAGAAGUCGGUGCUGGCACGUGACAGGGAUUUGCUGUUGACUACGGUGUGUGGCAUUUAGAAUGUGAAGAAGUUGCUCGGCAGCGCUGCUGCAACCGCGUAGAGAUGUCAGCUACGAGGUUCGAUUUUUUUGCCAUCGUUGCCUCUGUUGUUGCCGAAGUGUCGACUAGCGACAGUGAUGAGGACGACACGGAAAGCGACAGCAAAGGCGAUUCAGGCCCAACAGUGGCAGAAGCUGCGCGUUAUGUCAGCCUCAUUAAUGCAAUCGUCGCGACGAGAAUAGGGUCACGAUAACAUAACUCUAUUCCAAACUGCGGCACCUGGCAAUGAAAAAGGCAUCCUGGGACUUCUGCAGCACUACUGUGCACAUGCAUGGAGAAUACGUAACACCAACGAGGAAUCUGCCAUGUGAGUGUUUGCUGAGAAGAGGGGGCUGGCUGAGAAACUGGCACACAGGUUCAGUAAGUUUGAGGCCGCUGUUGUCGUGCUAGGCCGCCGCGGCAUCAAACGAUAAUAGGACUUUUGUCGCGCAACGUGAAUAAAUACUGGAUGUUUUUUCCCCUUUCA